AAGGUAUUGAAAUAAGAUUUUUAAUGAGUGCUAAGAGAAUGAUUGAACAAUUAUAGGCUUUCUUUAGUUAAAUAAUUAAAUUUAAUUUUUUUAGUGCAAAAGCAAAAAUUAAAUUUAGGGACAAGAAGACCCUAUGAAUUUUAAUUUAAUUUAUAAUUUGAAAUUUUAAAUUAAAUUUGAUUGGGGCGAUGGAAAAAGAAUGAGUAUCUUUUUUAGUUUUAAAAAUUGGUUCCGUUUUUAACGAUUAAAUGAGAAAAAUACUCUAGGGAUAACAGCGUAA
rnacentral:rRNA from 1 species